AUUUUGCGUUAGUGAUGGUAGCGACAUCCUUUACUUGCUUCUUUUAAGCAAGUAAAGAUACAGUGGACAGCGCGGGAAACG
rnacentral:sRNA from 1 species